GAGUUUGAUCAUGGCUCAGGAUAAACGCUGGCGGCGCACAUAAGACAUGCAAGUCGAACGAACUUAACCAUUAGUUUACUAUUGGAGCGGUUAGUGGCGGACUGGUGAGUAACACGUAAGCAACCUGCCUAUCAGAGGGGAACAACAGUUAGAAAUGACUGCUAAUACCGCAUAUGCCUUAAUCUUCACAUGGAGAUAGAGGGAAAGGAGCAAUCCGCUGAUAGAUGGGCUUGCGUCUGAUUAGCUAGUAGGU
rnacentral:rRNA from 1 species